rnacentral:lncRNA from 1 species
UUUGCUUUCACUUUGCUUCUUGGUGUACAGUCUGCUGCCACGCCAGCUGGCUAGGUCGCUCUGUAAGUAAGGCUUUUCCCUAUUAAAUACCCUUAUAUCUCUACCUGACUCUGUAUUGGUAAUUUUGUAUCUUCUUAUAUUUUACCUUUAUGAUUGUUAAUUAUGGAUACUUUAAACUGUUAAGUUUUAAUCCUCUUUUAGACUAAAAAGGGAAUUGUAGGGGAAGCUGUAGCCACGCCUACUUAGGGGCUGGCUACAGGGGUGCCUGACCACGCCCUCACAAGCUUUCGAGGGCAUGGUCAGGGGACAUAGGGUGACUGCAUAUGCUCUUUCGCUUUCACUUUGCUUCUUGGUGUACAGAAUGCUGCCACUCCGGCUGGCUACGCCACGCCGGCUGGCUACGUCGCUCUGUAAGUAAGGCUUUUCCCUAUUAAAUACCCUUAUAUCUCUACCUGACUCUGUAUUGGUAAUUUCCCACUUUAGGGUGUAGCUUAAUUAAUGUGGGAAUACACAACAACCCACAGUGGGUGGUACCAUUCCUUAGGCACUCUAGCUGAGAACUCUAGCUGAGCAUGUGCUUGCAAUCAUGAAUUCAUUGUUCUCUUUUUGACUGCAGAUAGGAUGUGACUAACCGCUUCAAAUUUCUGCCUGACUUCCCAGCAAUGAUGGGCUGUAACUGGGAUUGUGAGCUACAUAAGCCCUUCCUUUUUUACAGUUGCUUGUGUUGGGAUAUUCUAUUGCAGUAGCUAGAAAUAAAACUAAAACAUCCACUCUAAAAACAACAUGAAUUUGGUGAAGCAGCAAGGGCUCCUGAGUUCAGGAACAAUCAGUCUGGAUAAAUCAAGGUUGGUCGGGAUUGACAGAGUGCUCUCCCAUGUUAGUGGUCUUUACUACCCUAAGAACAGAAGCAAAAACUGAGCAAUACAAGACUUGGCAUUGCUUGUAUCCUGAAGCCAAGACCUCUACCCAACUGUUGCCUGUGAUUCAGGCUGAACUUCAAGUCACCCUCUCAACAUGAUUGAACAAGGAUAUAGUAACAGGUGAGGAUUGUUUCUGUUUUAAUCUUUAGUGUGUGUGUGUGUGUGUGUGUGUGUGUGUGUGUGUGUGUGAGAGAGAGAGAGAGAGAGAGAGAGAGAGAGAGAGAGAGAGAGAGAGUGGGAGAGAGAGAAAGAGAGAGAGAGA